GACGAACGCUGGCGGCGUGCUUAACACAUGCAAGUCGAACGGAAAGGCCCUGCUUUUGUGGGGUGCUCGAGUGGCGAACGGGUGAGUAACACGUGAGUAACCUGCCCUUGACUUUGGGAUAACUUCAGGAAACUGGGGCUAAUACCGGGUAGGAGCUCCUGCUGCAUGGUGGGGGUUGGAAAGUUUCGGCGGUUGGGGAUGGACUCGCGGCUUAUCGGCUUGUUGGUGGGGUAGUGGCUUACCAAGGCUUUGACGGGUAGCCGGCCUGAGAGGGUGACCGGCCACAUUGGGACUGAGAUACGGCCCAGACUCUUACGGGAGGCAGCAGUGGGGAAUAUUGCACAAUGGGCGGAAGCCUGAUGCAGCAACGCCGCGUGCGGGAUGACGGCCUUCGGGUUGUAAACCGCUUUCGCCUGUGACGAAGCGUGAGUGACGGUAAUGGGUAAAGAAGCACCGGCUAACUACGUG
rnacentral:rRNA from 1 species